ensembl:lncRNA
CGCCAUUGGUUGCAGCUUGUUUGUUUAUUUUGCAGGAAGUGCUCUACAUUUUGUUCAUUUUUUCAGCAUUCCGGGAACUUUCUUCAAGUGUUACAAAGCAGAAGAAGAAAUCCCAGCAGUACAAAGGGCAAAAGAAAAAAAGGAAGAUUCCUAUUGGUAAGAGGCCAGUCAAUUUAUCUGUGAUUGGCCUGACACAGAGGAACCUGUCUGGGGAUGAGAACAUGACUCCACCUGAUUACCCAUCACCACCCACACCAUCAUCUGCUCCUGGGAACAUGCCCCUCACCUCUGCUGAUAGAGACCUGAGUGCAAACUACAAACCAGGUGGGCCCACAGUCUGCUGGCUUUCAUUUGGCAUGAAGGAAAAA